rnacentral:rRNA from 1 species
AGUAAUGUAUGGGGAUCUGCCUGAUGGCGGGAGAUAACUACUGGAAACGGUAGCUAAUACCGCAUAAUGUCUGCGGACCAAAGCGGGGGACCUCCGGGCCUCGCGCCAUCAGAUGAACCCAUAUGGGAUUAGCUAGUAGGUAAGGUAACGGCUUACCUAGGCGACGAUCCCUAGCUGGUCUGAGAGGAUGAUCAGCCACACUGGGACUGAGACACGGCCCAG